rnacentral:rRNA from 1 species
UACGAAGGGUGCAAGCGUUAAUCGGAUUUACUGGGCGUACAGGGAGCGUAGGCGGUUGGAUAAGCCCUCCGUGAAAUCUCCAGGCUUAACCUGGAAAGUGCAGAGGGGACUGUUCAGCUAGAGGAUGGGAGAGGAGCGCGGAAUUCCCGGUGUAGCGGUGAAAUGCGUAGAGAUCGGGAGGAAGGCCGGUGGCGAAGGCGGCGCUCUGGAACAUUUCUGACGCUGAGGCUCGAAAGCGUGGGGAGCAAACAGG